UUUCACUCUUAUGGCUGUAAGCAGCCUCAGAGGGUCCAUAAGGUUAACAAAUUGGGAAUUUCAACCCUGCUUUGUUUCAGCCUCCCUGGCGGCGUUGCUGCAGGGCUGUGAACCCGGGGAUCCCGACUGCCGGCCCCGCAGCCCCCGAGCUUUAUCCUCAGUGUGGAUCUUUGAGGAUGAAUCAAAAUGUUACAGGCACAGCAAACUGGACAUCUAUUUCAUCGGGGAGAGGAAAAAGAGAAGAAAAUCAGCAGCUCUAAUGAGAGAUGCUGAGAUAUUUUGGUAUGUUGGUAGGCUGCCUCCUGCUCCUCGCAGUUGGAACAAACAUGCUCCCUAAUCUCUUGGCCCCUAUGAAUGAUUUUUUUUCCCCUGGAUAAUACCUUUUCUUCACAUCAGAGCGCUGAGUAUCAGUAGCAUGCACUUGAUGCUUUCCAGUGCUCUCUUUUGCAGCGCUGGGUCAUUGCCAGCCUUCAAUUUACCUGCCCGCUCCCUUAUCUCUAAGCUGCGGAUCCAUCCUGUGCUGGAUUUCCUAGAUACAAUGGUGUCUUUCUGUGCAAGCUAUUGUUUUUAUAAUUCAGCAGCUCUAUCAGUGCAAAAAGUCUGUUUUGUUUCUCAGUUAACCCAAUCAUGGAAUCUGCUUUUACCCUGAGCUUGUCCUAUAGGAUUCAACUCCACCAAAUGCAUCUCCAGCCUGACACCAACCAUACUGGACCAACCUACAGAACCCGUUCUUCUCACCCCAACAUUUCAGCAUUGUGGAACCAAUCUGUGGCCCAGUGCUGGGUGGCACUCAUGUAUGUUAACUGCUUUAUCGAGAGAUGCUAUCCCUUGUUCCAAAGGAUUUUUAUUAGCAGAUUUUUCUUGACUCCAAGUGGCUCGAUGGUGUGUUUUUGGACUUGAUCACAUUUUUCCCCUUUGGUUACAGAUUUGCUUUAUGCACAGAUUUAUUUCUUGCUUCUGCAUUUGUCCGAACUUCUGCUUUCCUGUAAACACGGUACAUUUUCUGGAAGGAAUUGCUCUCCAGCCCCUGCGUGCUCCACUGCUGGACACUGCUUUCCUCCUGAGUACAACUCUGUUGUCUUUGUACUCUCUUCUUGCAGGAGGUAUCAGGGGGCUGAGCUGUGCCCAACCUUCUUUACAUACCACAGGUUGAACAAUGCCAUGAGAGAUUUUUCGAACACAAAACACCUUUUUCAUUUGAAAAGCAGUAACCAGCAAUGGUAGGAGUGGAGCUGGGACUUCAGCCAGGCUCUUGCAGACCAACGUUACCGCAUUUUCUGUGAGAGAGCUGUUACCUCAGAGUGGACUUUCCCAGCCCAGAGCUCUUCCCUGCACCUCCCAUCCCCUGCAGCUGCACUGGCAGUGGCCCAUUUCCAAAGUGCUGUCACCCACAGUUAUUCAAUACUUGUCACGGUACAGUCUUCUGGAAGCAGGAGCCAGGCUGAAGCGACAGAUAACAGCUUGUUGUGCUGUUGACACAGUUGUGGAUCCCAUGACUCCCCAUAUUUCUCUUUUUAAAGAAGCAUUCCAGCUCUCUUGCUGUUUGAAAAGCCUUCCUUUCAUUAAAUUGUGCUGAUGCCACAGAAAAUUGUCAGCUGUCCAUCCUUUCCCCAGGCAGGGAAAAUAUAUCUGUAUAUAUCUGUAUAUAUGUAUGUAUAAUCACAGCAAGGGGAGGGAAGGGUCAGGUGUUGCUAUGGAAAGAGACUAUUAAUGUGUAACAGAACUGGUCGUACGGGAGGUGCACAAAAUGAGCCUUUCAAAGGAAGGUCACAGGCAGCCCAGCCUCUCUUUGGGGGACACCUGUCCCAAGUUUGAUAAUUCGAUAAUUUGUUCCUCCCAUUAUUUCCCUUUGCUGAUGGCUCUUCGGCCAGAUUUUCAAGCAUCAAAAGGUAUCCUGUGCUAAAAUGGUCUGGAUUCAUUCAGAGAGCAGAUUUCUACAAGGCAUGGGCUUGAGUGCUUUAUGAAGAGCUUAUAGCCAGAUCCUGAGAGUGUAUAAAUUACAGUAACUUUCCAAAGUCCAGCUUAUGCCAGCUGAGCACCUAAUGUACGUGAAAUAUCUUCUGCUUUUAAUAGGAGCAACCAAAAGGAAAGAAGGUGAAGUGUGAAGCAAGGGGAGGGAAGAAUGUCCUUGUAUUGCUUUCCAGUCUGUAAUGGUCAUGGAUUUCAUUGGGGAUAACUGCUUUGACCAGUCUGUGUCAGGUGGAACCAGCUCUGCUUUUACACAUUAACUCCAGCUCUGGCCAAGAGAAGGAAGAUGAUCUCCCGGUACCCUUGCAGAACUGGUUUCUCUUUGCAUGACCAUCCAAAUGCAUGCAUCUUCCUGAGGCACUCAGCAUUGCCCUCUGCUCCAAUCUUUCUCUGUGUGCCCCAUGAAACACGGAGGAUGCAUUACUAACACUGGUACCUUGAUUUCAUUUAAAGGUAACAAGACAAAGAGUAGGUUUGCUAGCUGGAUUUUUCAUCUAUAAACUUGCAUUCUGUAGUAUCAUAGAACCAUUGAAUAUCCCAAGCUGGGAGAGUUCAUGAAUAGUCCAUAAAGAUCGUUGAGUCUAACUACUGGAGCACUCACUCCAGGCUGGGUGUUUCUACACCAUUACAAGAGUUACUCUUUGGGCGUACUUAGCUUCAUCCUGACUGGGCUCCCCUUAACGAGGGAACUAAAAUGAAGAGGUAAAUGAAUUUCUUCCUGGAAGACUGGAGCAGAAAUGCUAAGUCACAGCCUGAAGCAGUGAUUGAGCACCUGGUGGGAAGGCAGGGCCAACCCAGUGGAGCAGAGGUGCAUGAAAUGCAAUGCAACGCAGCUGAGUGAUGAAGGAGUGGAGCCAGGAUCCACCCCUUCCCAGCUCUCAUUUAAGGGCUGGAAGUGGGGGUGUGGGUCUGUUGCUGAAGGUCCUUGCAAAAGUGUGGUCUUCUGAAGCCCCUGUUAUUUUUCUCAUUGGCCACAGAACCAUCUGCUGGUGUCACCACUCCUGGUCUCUUGGAAAUGGCCUUGCAGAGCAUGAGAGUUUCUUCAGAAGUAAAUAGACAAAUUCUAAAACUUUUGUGUUGCUCAGGACCCUAAAAUCUCAGAUCCUUAAAUCCUGGUAAGAAAUCGUAUCUAGCUCUUGCUUGUUUUCUGUUUGUGGUCUGAAUGUGCCUCCUUCCAAGUACAUGUAUGUGCAUACACACAGGAAAGUAUAAUGGAGUUUAUCUGCCUUUCUGGGAAUCACAACUGGAUAAAGCAGAAUUGGUCCCUUCCUACAGCCCUGGGGAACAACUUUGGGGUGCUCUCCAUGACCCUUCUCCACACUUCUCAGUCUGGGCCGUAGACCCAGCUGCUGUGUGGGGGCUUUUUCUCCUUACUCUCAGCUCAGUGCUAACAACCCUAAUGAGCACAGAGGGACAAAUGGCAGAACACUUGCAAAUACUUGAUGAAUUUUUGCCUAUCAGAGUUCAGUGCUCUGGUUAGUCAUUAUUUCAUAGCAGGAGAAAUAAAGCCUCAGUGUUCCUCAAGUGAUAGGCAUGAGGUGACAAUCGCAGGGGCUCUGCUGAACUUCCUGAUAUUAAGGCAGCUAAAGUGCUGUUCAGAUGUAAUCCAAUCAACAAGACCCGACUCCAGGUAAGCUGGCAAACUGAGCUGAUGAACACCUUGUGCACCUCACCUAUUCGCACUGCUGGAAUGAGGGUCAAGGUGCUUCCUGACAUGUGAUUAUCAGUGGUCACUGGUGAUACAGAGGAGACUGGUGAGAUGGGGAGGGAGAUAAGUAUGGGCUCAUGGUGUGCCUGGGGCAGACAAAAGAAGAGUCAGAACGAAACACUUAUAUUUUCUGGAGCAAGGAGACUAAUUAGCGAGAAGAGCUGGUUUUGCAGCACAGAGCAGGUUUUCUUCACAAAUGGGCCUCAAUAGUACUAUUAUAGAGAUGAGGUCUCCGCAGGCUUGUAUUUCUUCUCUUGGGAAACCAUGUUUUGUUAGGUGGUGAGGGAAGAGCGAUCCAAUCUCCUCAGUCCUACCAGUAAACCUAUCCCCUAUAAAAACAAAUCUUAGUAAAUAGAAAAGCUUUUAUUUUUUUUUUGUUCGGGUGCUGCUUUUGUGUGAUAACCCAUGCCUUGUUAAAAGGUGUCCAUCCAACAUCACAGCAAGAGCUCCUUAAAGGAAAAAAACGCUUAUAGGAUAAAUUCAUUCUGGUGAAGAGAAGAACGGUCACUGUCAUAACAUUGUUAUAUACUUUAUAUUGGGUGUCCAUUUAACUUUAAACUACUUAUGUCAUAGAUUGGCUGCUACAUUUAACCUACUUGCUAUGAUCUUUAAGUUCCCACUUCAGAAACACUUCUUACAGGGUAGGACUGUAAGCCACCAGAGUGCUGUGAAGAGUGGGUACCAGGACUGGAGGAUGAAGACUGCAGUAGAAGAGGUGGUUGAACAGAGGAUCCAAACUGGCAUUGUUGGUGAAGAAGAAACUGGGAUACAAUAAGGAAGAAUGGCAUGAAAAAAGAAGGCACGCAAGCAUCUGGAAAGGGAGGUUAAGUAGUAUGACCUUACUGUAGGAUGGAAGAAAAAAGCGUGUGGAAGACGUCUGGAAGAAGGGCACAAUGUGCUGAGAGAGGUGAUUUGAUGCUUGGGCUUGGGACAGAUGGGAGGCUGCAGUGAGGAAGGAGAGACAGAAGGGAGAAGGGGCAGGCAGCAGAGUGAGCAGGACCUUGGGUGAGCAGUAGAGGAGAGGUGACAGGCAGUACCAUUUGUGGGGAAGAGGGAUGACUGCCAGCUCUCCUGGGUGAUGGGGUGGCAUCAUCAGCAGUGGGGCUGUCAAGGAUGGCAGGUGACAAGGUGUGGGCAAUAUGGAGCAGAAAGAGCUCCUCCCUCACUGCUGAUGUGGGAGGGGUGAGCUCAGUUUUGUUCUCUCAGUGCAGUUCCUCAAAAUCCAGGGCCAUCUGGACACUGUCCUGUCCCUCACACAAGCUGUCGCCCAGGGAUUGCUCUGGCAGCCGUGACUGGCUGGCAUGUCCAGGAGUCUGUGUUCACAGCCAGAAGGGCAGAUGGCACAGGAUUCACUACAGUGGCUUUGCAGCACCUGGUGCCACCAUUUGGGGGGUCUGGGGUCCUGCAGAGCCAGGUGAGCCUUGCUGUGUGCACUGCAGAGUCAUUCAAUUGAAUGCCACAGGGCUGCUCUGCAAGCUCCCAGACACCUUCAGUAUCACUAGUGCAAACAUUUGGGAUGGGUAUGCUCCUUUCCAGCUGGCCUUGAAGUGUUGGGCCCUGCCAAAGAUCUCCCUGAGGUGAGGGAGGACAGUAGAACUCAGCUGACAUCGCUUCAGCAAUGUGUUUGCAGUGACUGAUGUCUUCGGCUCACUGCUCCUGGUGUUCCGGGUUGCUCAAGAAAUGGGUAUGAAGAAGAGACGGCGAAGACACUGAUCACUCUGCUCACAUGCCUAUGCAUUAUGGAUUGUUUUGCUCAAGGAACAUUUUAUUAGCAUUUCAUCAUCCCAGUAACAAUGUUUUUUUUUUUUUAAUAGCAUUCGUGAUAUGGAAUUUCUCAAAAAUUAAAAUACUUUUG